UAUUUUUUUUGUUAAUUAUCCUUUUGGUUAAGAAAAAUAAAAUGUAAUCUUUUUUAGAUAUAGUCAUAUGAAUUAGUAUAUGUUAAUAAUGAUUUAUUUUUUAGUUAUCUAAUUCUUUAAGAAGAAAAAAGUUAAUUGAUUUCUUUUUUAGUAUUUCUAUUUUUUUUAAAAGAAAAAAGUUAAUUAUUUUCUUACACGUAUCAACAUCUGAUCGAUAGACUUGACACGUGGUAUAAUCGUAUGAGUUAGUAACUUUGAAAACCAUAAUUUAUAUAAUAAGAUUUGUUUAUAUUUUCUUUGGGAUUUAAUUUAGAAAAAUGUGUGUAAUUU
rnacentral:sRNA from 1 species